CCGCACUGAAUCGAAUGGGAAACUCAUCAAAUAUAAGUAUGAAACUGAGACCAGUUUCGCUAUCCAAUGGCGUGCCAUCCUCGUGUGGCAACAUGCGAGUGGGUGGAUUACAAAGGAAGCGAACCCUCAAAACCUGUUAAUCGGAGUUUCAUCACAUCUUCAUCAGUGCGGUUCUU
rnacentral:sRNA from 1 species